GAUGAAGAACGUAGCGAAAUGCGAUAACUAAUGUGAAUUGCAGAAUUCAGUGAAUCAUCGAAUCUUUGAACGCACAUUGCGCCCCUUGGUAUUCCAUGGGGCAUGCCUGUUCGAGCGUCAUUUGUACCUUCAAGCUUUGCUUGGUGUUGGGUGUUUGUCUCGCCUUUGCGUGUAGACUCGCCUUAAAAUAAUUGGCAGCCGGCGUAUUGAUUUCGGAGCGCAGUACAUCUCGCGCUUUGCACUCAUAACGACAGCGUCCAAAAGUACAUUUUACACUCUUGACCUCGGAUCAGGUAGGGAUACCCGCUGAACUUAAGCAUAUCAAUAAGCGGAGGA
rnacentral:misc_RNA from 1 species